rnacentral:siRNA from 1 species
UACAUCAAUCUGCAGUUAUACC